rnacentral:rRNA from 1 species
AAAGGUAAGCUACUAAGAGCGAAUGGUGGAUGCCUUGACUGGUAAAGGCGAUGAAGGACGUACUAGACUGCGAUAAGCUACGGGGAGCUGUCAAGAAGCUUUGAUCCGUAGAUUUCCGAAUGGGGCAACCCAAUGUAUAGAGAUAUACAUUACCUAUAUAGGAGCGAACGAGGGGAAUUGAAACAUCUUAGUACCCUCAGGAAAAGAAAUCAAUAGAGAUUGCGUCAGUAGCGGCGAGCGAAAGCGCAAGAGGGCAAACCCAGUGCUUGCACUGGGGGUUGUAGGACUGCAAUGUGCAAGAGGUGAGUUUAGCAGAACAUUCUGGAAAGUAUAGCCAUAGAGGGUGAUAGUCCCGUAUGCGAAAAACAAACCUUAGCUAGCAGUAUCCUGAGUAGGGCGGGACACGAGAAAUCCUGUCUGAAGCUGGGUCGACCACGAUCCAACCCUAAAUACUAAUACCAGAUCGAUAGUGCACAAGUACCGUGAGGGAAAGGUGAAAAGAACUGAGGUGAUCAGAGUGAAAUAGAACCUGAAACCAUUUGCUUACAAUCAUUCAGAGCCCUAUGUAGCAAUACAGGGUGAUGGACUGCCUUUUGCAUAAUGAGCCUGCGAGUUGUGGUGUCUGGCAAGGUUAAGCAAACGCGAAGCCGUAGCGAAAGCGAGUCUGAAUAGGGCGCUUAGUCAGAUGCUGCAGACCCGAAACGAAGUGAUCUAUCCAUGAGCAAGUUGAAGCUAGUGUAAGAACUAGUGGAGGACUGAACCCAUAGGCGUUGAAAAGCCCCGGGAUGACUUGUGGAUAGGGGUGAAAGGCCAAUCAAAC